rnacentral:lncRNA from 1 species
AAGGAUUCAUUUCAUUUUAAUUUUUUUCUUAGUACAGUUGGUUAUCAAACCUUCAGAUCAAGGUAAGCAAACCUUCGUACCAAGGUAACAAAACCUUCAUACUAAAGUAACUAAUUCACAUCCACACCUGCAGUUUUUUCAUAGUGCAGUUGAUAGCCAAACCUUCAGACCAACGUAAUCAAUUCAAUUUUAUUAAGUUACCAAUUUCGUUUGAAUGUGAUGCAGUUGGUAGCCAACCAUUCAUACAAAGGUAACCAUUUUAUUAUUUAUGAGUAACAAAAUAGUUAUAAAAAAAAUUUCAGAACAUUAAAAGUUAUAUCUAUUUAUUUUUAAACUUUUUGUAGGGAGAAUCUUCUUCUUAUUCUCAUCGGCGUUUUGGACAACGAAGAUUCGCGGCGGUGUAGCGGCGGAGUAUGUGAGAUGUAGCGACAAACUAUUAUUUCAAAGUGUAUGUGAGGGAG